UGAAGUAUUUUGUGUUUGUGUGGAUUAAUUUUCCAUAUUUCGAAAUACAAACAAUCUUGACUUCUCUCCACCCCUAAGACACAUAUCACAUUUCAGGCUACUUAAAUAUAUGGUAAGUAUCCAAGUUUUUUUUUUACAUUUUUGUAGCAUUGUGGAAAAACACCAUUCAAACUGGUGAUUUUUGUGGUGAAAAGGAAUUAAUAAACAUACCAUUUAAUCCUUGCUUCCGUAAUUAACUGCAUUCGUAGCGUAGUGUGUAUACAUUAGAGGAACAAUUAGAAAGUGUGCGUUUACCAGAAGUUAUAAUGUUUCGCUGUACGAUCCUUCCCAAUGUCCUUUAAAAGUUUUCAGAACAAUCGGUCCCUUAUCAAGUAUUUUUCUCAAUCUUGCAAAUUCAUUAGUACUUUCUACUUGACAUCAGAAUUUUCCAACCUUCUGAUUUUAUGACGUAAACCAUAUAAGCAACUAUUAAAAAAAGCAUUAUUGCAUCUCAUUGAACAUCCGGGUUCGAAUGCAAAAAUCUGUACCAUUUUCCAAUAUUACACCACCCAACCCACCAAAAGUCAAAGCUUUAUUGAUAAACAAACUUUCGCAUGCAUCUUUUUAAGGCAUUUUUAUUUGCUCGAAUACACAAUUUGUGGGUUGAAAACAAAGUUGUCCUGUUAAUUUCGUAAAUGAAUAAGCAUAUAUAAUAUGAACAUACCACAUUUUAAUUUAGUAUUUCUAAAUAUUUAAUUAUUUUGAUUUUGCUCUAUUUCUUAAGUUGUUGGUAGAUAGAAAUCAAAAGCAAAAACAAUUCAACACAAAGAGAGCAAAUUGAAACAAAACAGAAAUAGAAGUCAAAACAAAGAAUACCGAACCAUUGAUGACAAUAAGAAAAACGCAAACAACAGUGCUGGAUUGAGACCACUAAUACAAUUCCUUGCGGCAGACAUAAUAGAAUUUUUUGCAUGACGGAAAAGGCAAACAAAUCAUUUUUGGAGUAUAAAUUUGGGUGUGUGUAAGUUACCUUGGAGUAUAAAUUUGGGUUUAUGGCUGUAAAUCGUGUGAAAGUGGGGCCCCAUUCUGUGAAUUUCUGCAAAGCUUUUAACAUCUUAUUUAUUCCAACACUGUUUCAUCUUGUGAAUAUGAACGCCACAAAGCAGAUACCUACACAUAUAGAUGAAAGCAGGAGAAGUAGAAAAAAUGCUGCAUCACGCGGGGACCGGGGGAUGCUUGACCGCUGCGUUUACGCUACGCAACCUUGCCGGAAAAACAAUGAAACAUUUGAUUUUUGUCUGUGUCCCUAUUGGACUAUAAGUACUUUUCUAUAGUAUUGCUCAAACCAAUACAGAGGUAUAUCAUUUGGGGUUCAAAAUUAACCACGAAUAAAAGUUAUUCGAUUUUAUCAUUUAUUUUGAAUAAAUUAAAUUUAAGAUUAUAUGAUUUUUAAAUGUGGAAUUAAUGUUAAAUGCUAUUUUUUUUAUUUGUAUCAAAUAUUUCGAAACAAUUCAAUCGAUAUUAUCCAUUAUCCUAAGCCUAUUAUCGAUUAAACCUUAAAUAAACGAUAGCUAUUGCAUUAUUUGACAAAUUUACUACGAAUUAUAUUUUCUGAAAAGUGGAAAUCUUGAUGAUUAUAUAUAUGUGAAUUUAAAGACAUAUUUCAGAAUUAUUUUAAAACCCAGUUGGUAGAUUAACUUUUUUUUUGAAAAACAGCUAUUAAACAAUGCCUCAAUUAUUAAGUAAUAAAUAAAAUAUAAACAUAGGAGUAAACUUGAAGUUAAUUUCUUAAUUUCACAGAUUUGUAUUUUUAACAACCCUGUAAUUUUCUGCAAUAACUGAUUAUAUAUCCUUAAACCAUAUAAUUAAUAGUAAAAUAUUAAAAUUUGAUAGUUUCUUUACUCUUUUGAUUAUUUACCAAGUUAAAAUGUUGCAUUCCUUCUGCCAUUUCAUCACAAGUUCACAAGAACUGCUCAUGUCAUGAAAGUGGAGGACUUUUUAUCACCAUCAUCACAUAAAUAUUUAAUAGUGGAGUUUUUGAUAUAUUUAUUAUAUCCAGUAACUUUGUAGUUUCUUAAAUCUGUUAAUUCACAUUUGGUGGUCAGUUGAUAUUGGCCUAAUCAAUAAUUAAAGUUUCUGGCCUCAUGCGCUGAACACAACAUGGUCAAAAAUAAAAAAAAAAUCCAAAUGCAUGGUUUUCUUUUUUCAAUUUAAUUAUAUUUUGUUUAUGCUAUUGUUUUUUUAUUCAUAUUGUUGAUACUAAACAUUUUUAUUGGUUGAAUAUAUAGAGAAUAGAUUAGACUAAGAAUAAAUUUAAAUAAAAACCAUUUUCUCAAAACGGUUGCGUGCAUUUAUGUAGAAGAAACUAGCCAAUUAAAACUAACAAUUUUUGCGGUUAUGUUCCCUUUUCCAUGUUGCGUUAUUUAAAAGACCAAUAGACCAAUACACAUAGAAAAAAUAUUGUAUCUAUUGUAUUUAAGAAAACCGCUCUUUCAAGAUUACCUGAUUAAAAAAUAUUUUUGUUUCCAAUUUUUUCAACAACUAAACUCUGUUCUUAGAUUUUGAUUUUUGAGUUAAUUAUUUUAAAAAUAUUUUUAAAAUUUGUUUUCUGUUUUCUGUUUUUUUUUUUUUUGUUGAAAUUGUGAUUUACAACUAAUUUUUUUGAGACUAUGUACAACAGCAACUUUGGGUUUCUUCCUUUGAAAAAGGUAUGUUACAUUCUUUGCUUUUAUAUAUCAGAUUUAACGUAUGGUCUGAUGUAUUUUUAAAUACAACUAAUUUAUUUUUCCUAUUUUUUAGAUUAAAAGGGAAUUAUGUUUUCUCUACGAUCUGGAGGUAGUUAGUUACUAUCAUAAAUAAGUUGACAAAUUAAUGAAAUAAACCUUUCUAAUAAAAAAAUCAGGGGAAAGUACGAUAACUCAGACGACCAAGUUUAAUGACCAAUUUGCAUAGUACAGUUAAAAACAAUUUUCUAAAAACGGAGACCCUCUAAACGGCACCAAAUGAAGAUGAGUCAGUCUACUUAUCAUCGCUUACACAACCUUUCUGCCGUAAUAUGUGAACGUCUAAAGCCCAUCGUAAACAACCUGAUAGGUCCUUAUCAGUGUGGUUUUAGACCGCGAAAGUCCACAGUCGAAAAAAACCCAAGAACAUCAUAUCGAUACCCACCAUAUUUUCAUCGAUUUCAAGGCCGCAUAUAACAGCAUCUACAGGGACCAGUUGUAUAGAGACAUGUCUAGAAUUCGCGCUGCUCCAUAAAGGUUGGACACAAGUUAAAAGAACUUUUCGAUGCCAAAAAAAGAUUAAGACAAGGUGAUGUAAUUGGAAGAACUCAGCGUGAUGUCUAUGGGGCGGCAGAAAGGGGUUUAACGGUUAACGAGAACAAAACAAAAGUACAAGAUGUCAUCAAGAAAGGACUGACA